GAGUUUGAUCGUGGCUCAGAUUGAACGCUGGCGGCAUGCCUUACACAUGCAAGUCGAACGGCAGCACGGGAGCUUGCUCCUGGUGGGCGAGUGGCGAACGGGUGAGUAAUGCAUCGGAACGUAUCCUGGAGUGGGGGAUAACGUAGCGAAAGUUACGCUAAUACCGCAUAUUCUGUGAGCAGGAAAGCGGGGGACCUUCGGGCCUCGCGCUCUUGGAGCGGCCGAUGUCGGAUUAGCUAGUUGGUGAGGUAAAGGCUCACCAAGGCGACGAUCCGUAGCAGGUCUGAGAGGAUGAUCUGCCACACUGGAACUGAGACACGGUCCAGACUCCUACGGGAGGCAGCAGUGGGAAUUUUGGACAAUGGGGGCAACCCUGAUCCAGCCAUGCCGCGUGAGUGAAGAAGGCCUGG
rnacentral:rRNA from 1 species